ACUGCUCAGUAACACGUGGACAACCUACCCUCAGCACGGGGAUAAACCCGGGAAACUGGGUAUAAUACCCGAUAGUUCUGGGAUGCUGGAAUGCUUCCAGGACGAAAGCUCCGGCGACUGAGGAUGGGUCUGCGGCCUAUCAGGUAGUAGUGGGUGUAAUGUACCUACUAGCCUACGACGGGUACGGGUCGUGAGAGCGAGAGCCCGGAGAUGGAUUCUGAGACACGAAUCCAGGCCCUACGGGGUGCAGCAGGCGCGAAAACUUUACAAUGCUGGCAACAGCGAUAAGGGGACCUCGAGUGCCAGGAUACAAUCUUGGCUGUCGUAAUGCCUAAAAAGCAUUACAUAGCAAGGGCCGGGCAAGACCGGUGCCAGCCGCCGCGGUAACACCGGCGGCUCGAGUGGUAACCGCUAUUAUUGGGUCUAAAGGGUCUGUAGCCGGCCGGAUAAGUCUUUUGGGAAAUCCAGCUGCUCAACAGUUGGGCUUUCAGAAGAUACUGUUCGGCUCGAGGCCGGGAGAGGUGAGAGGUACUUCAGGGGUAGGGGUGAAAUCUUGUAAUCCUUGAAGGACCACCAGUGGCGAAGGCGUCUCACCAGAACGGUCCUGACGGCAAGGGACGAAAGCUAGGGGCACGAACCGGAUUAGAUACCCGGGUAGUCCUAGCCGUAAACGAUACUCGCUAGGUGUCAGCCACGGUGCGACCGUGGUUGGUGCCGUAGGGAAGCCGUGAAGCGAGCCACCUGGGAAGUACGGCCGCAAGGCUGAAACUUAAAGGAAU
rnacentral:rRNA from 1 species